UCCGAAGUAGCUCAGUUGGUUAGAGCAUCUGACUGUUAAUCAGAGGGUCGCAGGUUCAAGU
rnacentral:tRNA from 1 species